rnacentral:lncRNA from 10 species
UUCUAAGUGCUUCGUGUGUAAUUAUCUCAUUUUAAAAAGAUAAAUUCAUUGGGAGAUUUUCAGGGGCUGGUGAAAGUGCGUUCUUUUUUGGUUGAGGGGAGGUUAUCUAAAUGGGUCAGAGUUUGUGAGUGUGUCAGGCCAGGGAGCAUUAGCUGAUGCAAAAUACUCUACAAGGUGGCUGAACUGUCUCCUCAACUUCCAAAUAGAAGUCACGUCGAGGAAAUGUUUUUGCUGUCACCAGGUCUCAGGAGAACAGUUCCCAUGCCUGGAGAAAUAAUGGAUAGAAGCAGCCAAGACACAAACACUUGAUGCAGCACCCAGAGGACCAAGCUCAGAGGGACGGAAGGUAGCAAGGGACACACCAAACACUGGCUGAGAAUCUGACCAGCUCCUGUCUGCAGUAAGAGGCUGAUGUACUAUUGGUGUGUGCAGGAUGUAAGAUCGCAGGUAUGCUCCUUCCAUUUGCUAGAAGUGGACGGGGGCAUGGAAUCCUGUCCAUUGUGGACCACAGUGCUUAGGGCAUUUCUGUUAACCAGAUUAUACAACGCUGACUGUUCUAGAGGCUGAUAUUUGACCUCAACCUUUGUGGAGAAAUUGAAACGGAGGUAGUGGGGCGUCUCUCAGAGCAAGUCUUGGUGUUAGGAA